UACGUAGGGGGCAAGCGUUGUCCGGAUUUAUUGGGCGUAAAGAGCGUGUAGGCGGCCAUGUAGGUCCGUUGUGAAAACUCGAGGCUCAACCUCGAGACGCCGAUGGAAACCAUGUGGCUAGAGUCCGGAAGAGGAGAGUGGAAUUCCUGGUGUAGCGGUGAAAUGCGCAGAUAUCAGGAAGAACACCCGUGGCGAAGGCGGUUCUCUGGGACGGUACUGACGCUGAGACGCGAAAGCGUGGGGAGCGAACAGG
rnacentral:rRNA from 1 species